AUACGUAGGUGGCAAGCGUUGUCCGGAUUUAUUGUGCUUCCCGCGCUCGCAGGCGGUUUCUUAAGUCUGAUGUGAAAGCCCCCGGCUCAACCGGGGAGGGUCAUUGGAAACUGGGAGACUUGAGUGCAGAAGAGGAGAGUGGAAUUCCAUGUGUAGCGGUGAAAUGCGUAGAUAUAUGGAGGAACACCAGUGGCGAAGGCGGCUCUCUGGUCUGUAACUGACGCUGAGGCUCGAAAGCGUGGGGAGCAAACAGGAUUAGAUACCCUGGUAGUCCACGCCGUAAACGAUGAGUGCUAAGUGUUGGAGGGUUUCCGCCCUUCAGUGCUGCAGCUAACGCAUUAAGCACUCCGCCUGGGGAGUACGACCGCAAGGUUGAA
rnacentral:rRNA from 1 species